UACGAAGGGGGCUAGCGUUGCUCGGAAUUACUGGGCGUAAAGGGCGCGUAGGCGGCACUGUUAGUCAGGCGUGAAAUUCCUGGGCUCAACCUGGGGACUGCGCUUGAUACGGCAGAGCUAGAGGAUGGAAGAGGCUCGCGGAAUUCCCAGUGUAGAGGUGAAAUUCGUAGAUAUCUGGAGGAACACCGGUGGCGAAGGCGGCAUCCUGGACCGAUAUUGACGCUGAUGCGCGAAAGCCAGGGGAGCAAACGGG
rnacentral:rRNA from 1 species